rnacentral:rRNA from 1 species
GACGAACGCUGGCGGCGUGCUUAACACAUGCAAGUCGAACGGAAAGGCCCUGCUUGCAGGGUACUCGAGUGGCGAACGGGUGAGUAACACGUGGGUGAUCUGCCCUGCACUUCGGGAUAAGCCUGGGAAACUGGGUCUAAUACCGGAUAGGAGCCAUUUUUAGUGUGAUGGUUGGAAAGUUUUUUCGGUGUAGGAUGAGCUCGCGGCCUAUCAGCUUGUUGGUGGGGUAAUGGCCUACCAAGGCGGCGACGGGUAGCCGGCCUGAGAGGGUGGACGGCAACAUUGGGACUGAGAUACGGCCCAGACUCCUACGGGAGGCAGCAGUGGGGAAUAUUGCACAAUGGGCGCAAGCCUGAUGCAGCGACGCCGCGUGGGGGAUGACGGCCUUCGGGUUGUAAACUCCUUUCGCUAGGGACGAAGCUUUUUGUGACGGUACCUAGAUAAGAAGCACCGGCUAACUACGUG